UACGGAGGGUGCAAGCGUUGUCCGGAUUUAUUGGGUUUAAAGGGUGCGUAGGUGGGGUGUCAAGUCUGGUUUGAAAGUUAGCUGCUCAACAGUUAGACGGGGCUGGAAACUGGGAUUCUGGAAUGGGUUGGCGGCUGCCGGAACGGGUGGUGUAGCGGUGAAAUGCAUAGAUAUGGCCAAGAACACCGAUUGCGAAGGCAGGCAGCUGCGACCUGAUUGACACUGAGGCACGAGAGCAUGGGUAGCGAACAGG
rnacentral:rRNA from 1 species